rnacentral:rRNA from 1 species
UACGGAGGGUGCAAGCGUUAUCCGGAUUCACUGGGUUUAAAGGGUGCGUAGGUGGUCAGUUAAGUCAGUGGUGAAAUCUCCGGGCUCAACCCGGAAACUGCCAUUGAUACUAUCUGUCUUGAAUAUCGUUGAGGUAAGCGGAAUAUGUCAUGUAGCGGUGAAAUGCUUAGAUAUGACAUAGAACACCAAUUGCGAAGGCAGCUUGCUAACCGAAUAUUGACACUGAGGCACGAAAGCGUGGGGAUCAAACAGG